UUGGCAUUGAGGACACGCUGGGCGCCUCCCGCCUCUGUCCGGCAGGUGUGCUCAGCCUUGCCAGGUGUGCUCAACCUUGCCAAGUUGUUACACUGUUUCCAAGACAUUGCAACAUUGUUGCCAUCAAGUAACAGUGAGAUAAAGAAGACAGUACUGCAAGCUACCACAACCAGGGGCUGGCCUUCUUCUAAAUAAUUGGGGAGUGAGAAGCUUGUGGGCCAUGGAGCUCUGGGAAGCUUCCAGAGCGUCAGGCUUGAGUGUCUUCUAGACUGAAGCCCACUGUGACCAGGGCAAGCUCCCCGACCAACUCCGACUCUUGCUGUUUCCAAGGUUCCAGCUUUUUGUUUUCCAGAUGCUAUGUGCAGACCACGCAGUGACCCAUUCGUCCUUGCUGACGACAUGUUUCCCGUGUGAGACUCUGUGUCUCCCGAGAAGCAGACACCAAGACAGGAUGAGAGACGGAUUUUAUUGGGAAAAACACCUGCAGGAGAAAACAGGUGAGCACUGGCGGCAGCUGGGAGCACAGACUGCCGCGGGGUCUGAGCCUGCAGGAAGGGGUACGUCCUGGGGGCUGCAGUGGGGGCAUCAGCUGGGAGGUGCUGGGGCCACCCAGGCGGCUCACACUGCUCAGCAGGGCAGGCCUGCAAACGGUCCGCGUGUGAGCCACUGGUGACGUGAGGUCGGCUGUGCUGCCCCUCGUGGAAGCUGGCCAGCCCAGGCAUGGGGGCACUUUACUUCCCAGAACCGGCCACCGUUACUCCCGCCAAAGCUAGCCCUCAGCAGGCUCCCAUGCCUCCCAGGACAGGGCCUGCCUUGGUGUCCCCUGCACCCAGGACUGGUAGGAAGUCUGUGGGAAGCGUGGGCGAUUCCCGCAGCAGCAGCGGGGCCGUUGAUGAGGCUGCCGUGGCUGGGGGUGCGGGAGGCUCAGUUACAUGGCCUCCACUCACUCUGCAAAACAAAGCCCCAGUUCUUGCCCUCGGUGCCCUCUGUGGCGGGGCCCCACCACCUCUGACCUUGUCUCCUGAGCUUCCUUCCCCUGCACAGGGCUGUCCUGGCCGUGCCAUGCACCUUGUCACCCCAGGCCUGAUGCCAGCUGGCUGUGUCACUGACUCCCAUCUGCAGCUUCCUCAGUCCUCACUGCAGGUCUGCGCUGCCUCAGUCGGAAAUGAUGUCUUCUCUUUCCUGUUUUCUGAGCGGCUCAUUCUGCUGCCCGUCAAAUAG
rnacentral:lncRNA from 1 species